CCUACGGGUGGCAGCAGUGAGGAAUAUUGGUCAAUGGGCGCGAGCCUGAACCAGCCAAGUCGCGUGCGGGAAGACGGUCCUAUGGAUUGUAAACCUCUUUUGUCGGGGGGCAAAAGACGCCACGCGUGGCGUUCCGAGAGUACCCCAAGAAAAAGCAUCGGCUAACUCCGUGCCAGCAGCCGCGGUAAUACGGAGGGUGCGGGCGUUAUCCGGAUUUAUUGGGUUUAAAGGGUGCGCAGGCGGAAGGUCAAGUCAGCGGUAAAAUUGCGAGGCUCAACCUCGUCGAGCCGUUGAAACUGGUGUGCGUGAGUGAGCGGGAAGUAUGCGGAAUGCGUGGUGUAGCGGUGAAAUGCAUAGAUAUCACGCAGAACUCCGAUUGCGAAGGCAGCAUACGGGAGCGCAACUGACGCUCAAGCACGAAAGCGCGGGUAUCGAACAGGAUUAGAUACCCGUGUAGUC
rnacentral:rRNA from 1 species